UAAAGAGUUGAAGGAAAUGGAGAUGGUGAGAACUUUGACCAGAGACUGAUUUACCUAAAUUACCGAAGACUCAUAGAAUGGAACACUACGCAGCUGUAAAAAUGAGGCAUCAGUUUGUGUACUGAAAUGGAACAAUCUCUAAGGACAUAAUUCUACAGGUCGAGGAGUUUCGCAGACAUAACUCCUUGGGAGCAGUGCCCAGGUCAAGAAAGAAAAUGUGGCCAAUGCCCCAGGAUCUUAUUUGGUCAUCCAGGCUGGACUGCAGUGGUGUGAUCAUAGCUCACUGCAGCCUCAAACUGCUGGACUCCAGUGAUCUUCCAGCCUCAGCCUCCCCCGGUAGCAAGGACUACAGGGUCCCAGAAGGAACCAACGCUGCCCACACCUUAAUUUGAGACUUCUGGCCUCUGAGAAAUGAGAAAGAGUCUCACUCUCUGUCGCCCAGCCUGGAGUGCAGUGGCAUCAUCUGAGCUCACUACAACCUCCGCCUCCCGGGUUCAAGCGAUUCUCCUGCCUCAGCCUCCUGAGUAGCUGGGACUACAGGCACGCGCCACCACGCCCAGCUAAUUUUCGUAUUUUUAAUAGACAUGGGGUUUCACCAUGUUGGCCAGGCUGCUCUUGAACUGCUAACCUCAAGUGAUCCACCAGCGUUGGCCUCUCAAAGUACUAGGAUUACAGUGCUAGGAGCCACCAUGCCCGGCCGCCUCUCUUUUCUUUUACACAUGAAGAAAAAGUGGUCAGAGAAGUUAACUUGGUCAGUGCCAAAAGCACUGGAAGUGAGUAGGACCAAGCUUUUCAUCUAGAUUUGUUUGUUAGACUCUAAAUCCAAAUUCACAACAAGAUCAGAAUAUGAGAAACCUAAGGAACAAAAUUCUAGGAAUCAUUUCUAGAAACUGUGGCUAUUGAAAAAGCACAGACCUAGGGAAUCAAAUUAUUUUCCCUGCCACCAGCACAUGGGUAGGCCUGUGACAAAUUCCAUGCUCUGGACCCCAGAUUCCUCAGUGAGAAUAGAAGGGGCUAGAGACAUCAGGGAAUUGGAUUUGGUGACUUUAAUACCCACUCAGCUCCAAAGCAUUCUUGAAUGAUGCACGAUUUAUGAAUAUAUAUAUUGAAAUUUACUGAUGGGUGAACAGCUCUCAACAUGAGAUUUUUGUUGUAUGCCUUAAAAAAGAUUAUACAUAAAUAUGCGUGUGUGUGUGUAUGUAUGUUUCGAUGUAUAUGAACCCAUGAUCUGAAAAAUGGCCACUGUGGCUUGUGGAAACCUAUUAAUCUCUGCUGUUCCACCCAACAUCCUCAGAGAAAAAAAUAAACAACUUUUUGAAAGUGCUGCCAUGGGGUCAGACCAAAUACUGUGGCCACUUCCAAGGGGUUUGCCUUGAUUUGCCUGGAUUCCUGUUCAUGUGACAUCUGCCUUCUAAUUCAAGGAUAUGAUCAAUUCAAUGUGUGAGUUAUCAAUCAAGGACUGGCAACAGUGAUGCUGAACAAGCCUGGUGGAAGGAAAGAGAAGGCAGGCCAGAGCCCAGACAGACGCAUUCACAAACCUUACAAAGAGGACAGGCUAAUUAGGGGCUGUAGUUCUCCCUCUCUUUAUAGUUGGUAUAAGAGGAGUGGUAAUCGUAGUGUCCAAAAAUAUAUGGGCUACAUAGUUGCUUAGUAAGCUGUGGGUAUGUGGUUUCUUCUGCAAGGUGCUUUCUUUCUGAUAAAGAGAUUACGUUGUUUGUUUGUUCAUUUAUUGAACAUAUUUACACUUACACACACACACACACACACACACAAUGUUCCAGAUACCGUACUUGGCAAUGGUAGUUAGACCUUGCUCUUGCAAAAUUUAUAAUGAAGUUGGGAAGUGUGGUUUGAUCCCUCAAAGUGUCCAAAUCCUAAUCCCCAG
rnacentral:lncRNA from 1 species